UAACGAGGGUCAGCUAGUGAAUAAGUAACUACGAGAAAGUAACAGUGUGUGUUUGUGUGUGUGUGUUUGUGUGUGUGACAAUGUGCAUGUUUUUAUUAGCCCACCUAACAUCACUGCAGCAUUUUCCUGACACGUAUUGACGCAGCACUAAAAACCAGCAGUGGUUUUAUGACAUGCUCAUUUAUGAUAAGCAACUAGAUCAACACUCUAAAUUAACGUUUCCAAGAAGAGAUAAGUACAGAACAUCUCUCACUGUGCAAAGAACAACAGUGCGCGCUGAGUGGAGAGGAGACGAGCAGAAUGAAGCCGUGACAUGUUAUCAAUACUGAGGCAUUAGAGCUGAUUGAGGCGGAAAUAGACAAGUCGCCCUUCAUCAUGAACACGCACACAAAAGCACACACGCACACAGGAGAGAGAGAGAGAGAGAGAGAGAGAGAGAGAGAGAGAGAGAGAGAGAGAGAGAGAGAGAGAGAGAGAGAGAGAGAGAAUAGAGGCUUUCAGCACUAAUAACAAUGUCUAAAAUACUGCUCAUGGCUGUUCAUCGGUUGUAAGUUCUGAUACAAACCAACCUGCACUGCACAAAUUCCUACCACAUGCACAAAUGACAAAAAGCUGCCAUGACAAGGAACAGAUGGUGAGCAGCAAGCUUGGCAAAGUGGAAUCCAUUCAAGAGCAGGUCUAAAGCUGGCUUGGUGUUAUCAAUCAUAAGGAUAUGACCCACAAUAAAAGAUCCAAAGAGGCGUGUAGAUGCCUUAUCAACACUGCUUUAUUCCAUAAAGUACCAACACGUACUGGCCUGGAGGUUUGUUCUAUGUUGAAAAGUUUAUACAAGUGCCCAUAGUAGGCUGAUUAUACAUACACACCAUAAUUCUCAGUGAACUGAAAAUUAAUAUAUACUUAAAUGUCCUGGGAUAGACUGGUGCACUAUCCUAGUUGUAUAUUUCAACCUCACACACUGUGCUUCAAGUUUAAAACAAGCUAUAAAACAAACUUUAUUUCACUUUUUUAAGAAAAUGUAUUCGGACUAUCAACCCAACUAUGGGUUGAUGAGGUUUCAUUGGUAAAUGUGUCAAAUUAGGGACGUUCAUUUAUUUUUAGGACGCAAACCUGUCUUGACUUAGAAUCAUGAAGGAUUUCAAAGGUAAGAAAAGUUGGAAAACACCUAAGUAACGUCCAGAAUCUUUUACUUUCGAUCUUCAGUCCCCGUUCCUACUUUUUUCCCCCUUAAUCUUAAAAACAAAGAAUCUUGGGAAUUGUUGUGAUUUUGCAAGAAGCGCAAGCGCGAGACAAAGAGUUAGACGGAGAGAUGAAGUUAUUUUAGCCUGACGUUCUACACUAUACACGUUUAGGUUAGUUAUUAUGAGUCGUGCAGACUAAAUCUCAGUCAUUUCCCAAAAAACAAACAAACAAACAAACAACAACCAAACAACACGUCCAUAGCAUUAAAAAAGCCUGGCUACUCACCCGGCGU